CACUAAGAAGCUAAAACAGGUUAUAGCAUUAGCCUUUUAAGCUAAAAGUUGGUAGCUCCUAAUUACCCUUAGUGA
rnacentral:tRNA from 1 species